GGUGAACGCUGGCGGCGUGCCUAAUACAUGCAAGUCGAGCGACCAGACUAGAAGCUUUCUCCUCUGACGUUAGCGACUGACGGGCGAGUAAGACAUUGAUAACCUUCCUAUUUGACUGGGAUAACUUCGUGAAACAAGUGCUACUACCGGCUAAUAUAUUAAACCGCAUGAUUCAAUAGUUCUAGACGGUUUUGCUGUCACUCUUAGAUGAAUUCGCGUCGCAUUAGCUAGUUGGUAAGGAAACGGCUUACCAAGGCAACGUUGCGUAGCGGACCUGAGAGGGUGAUCGGCCACACUGGAACUGAGACACGGUCCAGACUCCUACGGGAGGCAGCAGUAGGGAAUCUUGGGAAAAGGGCGAAAGCUUGACGGAGCAACGCCGCGUGGGUGAUGAAGGUCUUCGGAUCGUAAAACUCUGUUAUUGGGAAAGAACAAAUGUGGAAGUAAAUAUGCACGUUUUGACGGUACCUAAUCAGAAAGCCACGGCUAACUACGUG
rnacentral:rRNA from 1 species